UACAGAGGGUGCGAGCGAUAAUCGGACUUACUGGGCGUAAAGCGCAUGUGGGUGGCGACGUAAGUCGGGUGUGAAAGCCCCGGGCUCAACCUGGGAAUUGCAUUCGAGACUGCAUUGCUGGAGUACGGAAGAGGAGGGCGGAAUUCCCGGUGUAGCGGUGAAAUGCGUAGAUAUCGGGAGGAACAUCAGUGGCGAAGGCGGCCCUCUGGUCCAGUACUGACACUCAAGUGCGAAAGCGUGGGGAGCAAACAGG
rnacentral:rRNA from 1 species